AGUGAACGCUGGCGGUAGGCCUAACACAUGCAAGUCGAACGGCAGCACAGUAAGAGCUUGCUCUUACGGGUGGCGAGUGGCGGACGAGUGCGGAAUACAUCGGAAUCUACUUUUUCGUGGGGGAUAACGUAGGGAAACUUACGCUAAUACCGCAUACGACCUACGGGUGAAAGCAUGGGAUCUUCGGACCUUGCGCGAUUGAAUGAGCCGAUGUCGGAUUAGCUAGUUGGCGGGGUAAAGGCCCACCAAGGCGACGAUCCGUAGCUGGUCUGAGAGGAUGAUCAGCCACACUGGAACUGAGACACGGUCCAGACUCCUACGGGAGGCAGCAGUGGGGAAUAUUGGACAAUGGGCGCAAGCCUGAUCCAGCCAUACCGCGUGGGUGAAGAAGGCCUUCGGGUUGUAAAGCCCUUUUGUUGGGAAAGAAAAGCAGCAGGUUAAUACCUCGCUGUUCUGACGGUACCAAAAGAAUAAGCACCGGCUAACUUCGUG
rnacentral:rRNA from 1 species